UACGGGGGGGGCAAGCGUUGUUCGGAAUUACUGGGCGUAAAGGGCUCGUAGGUGGCCAACUAAGUCAGACGUGAAAUCCCUCGGCUUAACCGGGGAACUGCGUCUGAUACUGGAUGGCUUGAGUUUGGGAGAGGGAUGCGGAAUUCCAGGUGUAGCGGUGAAAUGCGUAGAUAUCUGGAGGAACACCGGUGGCGAAGGCGGGUCUCUGGGCCGAUACUGACGCUGAGGAGCGAAAGCGUGGGGAGCGAACAGG
rnacentral:rRNA from 1 species